rnacentral:rRNA from 1 species
CGAAAGCCUGACGGAGCAAGACCGCGUGAGGGAGGAAGGCUCUUGGGUUGUAAACCCCUUUUAUCUGGGAAGAACAAAAUGACGGUACCAGAUGAAUAAGCCUCGGCUAACUCCGUGCCAGCAGCCGCGGUAAUACGGAGGAGGUAAGCGUUAUCCGGAAUUAUUGGGCGUAAAGCGUCCGCAGGUGGCGAUUCAAGUCUGCUGUCAAAGCACGGGGCUUAACUCCGUUAAGGCAGUGGAAACUGAAGAGCUAGAGUGCCGUAGGGGUAGAGGGAAUUCCCGGUGUAGCGGUGAAAUGCGUAGAGAUCGGGAAGAACAUCGGUGGCGAAAGCGCUUUGCUAGACCGAAACUGACACUCAGGGACGAAAGCUAGGGGAGCG